UACGAAGGGUGCAAGCGUUACUCGGAAUUACUGGGCGUAAAGCGUGCGCAGGCGGUUAUGCAAGACAGAUGUGAAAUCCCCGGGCUCAACCUGGGAACUGCAUUUGUGACUGCAUAGCUAGAGUACGGUAGAGGGGGAUGGAAUUCCGCGUGUAGCAGUGAAAUGCGUAGAUAUGCGGAGGAACACCGAUGGCGAAGGCAAUCCCCUGGACCUGUACUGACGCUCAUGCACCGAAAGCGUGGGGAGCAAACGAGG
rnacentral:rRNA from 1 species